UAUGAAUAUCUAUGGGGAAUUAGGAUUUCAAAUUGGACGGCCGUUACAAUAAUGGAGUCCCGUACGUGCAGAAAAUACAACCGGAUUAUAUAAUCAGUCAAGAAAAAGACUGGUUAAUCAAGAAAACAUGAAAGAAAACAUUCUCCUUCAAUACAUAUAUCCAUCAGUGACAGUUGUGAAAAAGAAAAUUCUUUAGGAAAAUUACUUCAUUACAUUAGGGCCCUUGUCAAAAUAUGACAGGCGUUUCAAUUGCUUUUCUACCGAGUUCCAUAAAGCUGCACGGAUUCAGACAUUUUAUCUCCUAUUAUUAUGGAUUAGAGUUAUCAAAGACUGUUGCCGCCGCCGACAACAAACGUCUAACCAACCACAAUUCAAGUAACUGUGAUCAAGUUUCUAAUUCUUCAUCAAGGUGGUGUAGUCUUGUUUCAACAGGCGUUCAAAGGAGGAACAGGAAUCAUGAUUCCAUUGAGUUGGAGCUGUGAAUAACUUGAACAGUAUUAAAACGUUCGCGGUCAAUAACACAGUGUUAGACCUGUAAUAAUACGUUUUACAGAUAUUGCUUGUUUCGUGCUCAUGAUUAAUCAGAUUCCGACAACCAACUAAAUAUUUUACACCCAAGGAAACAAGUCGAGGCUAAAACAGCUAUUAGACGGAUUUAAGUGAAGUUCUCAUUUUGUUGAGAGGAAGUAAUUUUAAGCGAAAUAUUCACGGAGACUACACAAUUUCUAUAGCAAUGGUCCGGUAAUAAUGUAAGUUUUAUUUCUUUGAAAAUUGUGAACUGUCCGGUUAAAAAUCAUCUAAAUGAAAUAAUAUGGGGUUUAACUAAUAAUGUCUUACUCGUCUGCACUAAUUGGAAAUAAAAUGGUGUUUAAUGUCCUACUGUUCAGCUCACCUAAACAUUGCUCUUAUCUGUAGUUACGUGUUGUAAUCAACGAUUCGAGGAUAUAAUGCAUAAGAUAUUGUGAAUAUUGUAAUGGGACGAAACCAGUCUACACAUUGGUGUGCAUGUAAAAGAUCCCUUAGCAGUUGGAUAUUCAAGAAAAGUAAGACUCUAAAUCCCAUUUUAGUUUAUUUCUAUCACUUAAACAUUGCUCUUACAAGUAAAUCUAACUGCUCAUUGAAUAUGAAACUGAUCCAAUACCAAAAAAAUAAUUCAAUAUCGUAGAAGCCAAUUAGUUGAUGUAAUGGACAUCGGUUCAAUUAUCUACACAUGAAUGCAGUUUGUUAUGAGCAAGAAGGAGAUAAAAUAUGGCUUUGAUAAAGAACAGGUGCUUUAUAGACCAGUUGAUCGCCGUCGCCAACAAAUAAUCUUCUUGUAUAAUAAUACUAGUUUCACGAUAUAAAAUACCAUCUCGUCAUUCUUUACAGAAAUAAAACUGGGCAACGAUAAAUUCUACACCAUAGCUUUUACUCAAUUGUGAGAUAAAUAAUCGAGGAAAUUUGACGAAGCCUAGUUCUUCUUUUGAGCGGUUUAAUUUCCUUUUAUGAAUAGUGUAAGAAAAGAUGACAAUUAUGUAGUUGGAGAGGUGUAAUUGGAUAGGGACUGAAAUAGACCUUAAAGAGACCCUUAAAAUAUAAUCAGCUUUGUCAACACCAUCAAAGAUUUGUUUUUAUUAACUGUCUUUUCUGAUUGUGUUCAGUCUGAUAUGGACACACCAUUAUCUCAAUAAUAAACCAAUGAGAUUGUUCACCAAGUAGCUGUGCUUUAUAUCAAGUUUUAGUUUUUAAAGUAGAGCGAUGGGGUAACAUUCUCUUGUGGAUUUACAUCAAGUACUGGAAACAAUGUUCUCAAUUGGGCUAGACGAGAAGAAGCUGGCGUAACGAUCCUUACUAAUGUAUUAAUGGGCGAUUCGUCUGACAACACAGACAACUUGUAUAUAAUGAUAAUGAGAGAUAGUUAGAGUUUUUGUCGAGAAGGAAAGAAGUUUUAAAGCAGUAAGAACUGAUUGGUAUUAAUGAAUACUGCAGACACAAGGAUGGCAAACCUAGAGAAGAAGUUCAACUAGAGAAAGAUACAAGGAUUAUUGAUGGAGAAAAGAAGUUCUACUAGGUAGAUAAAGGGUUAGAGAGAGAGAGAGAGAGAGAGAGAGAGAGAGAGGAACCUCCAUUCAAUAGUAAAUCUGUCCUUGUGUGUUAUGGAGAAAAGAAGUUCUACUAGGGAGAGAUACAAGGAUUGUUAAUAGAUAGAGAAACCACUCAAUGGUAAAUCUUCUCGUGUGUGUUAUGAAGGAGUAAAUAAGUUACCUUACACCAUAGAGAUGUGAAGAUUUAUUAUAACAUAAGAAUUGGAUAUGUUACAAGUACAUGAAUCACUGACACAUGACAAGGUAAGUUCACUCUUAUAGAAAAUAACCUAACAACCAAAUCAUUCAGAUCACCAUGACAAAAU